UACGUAGGGUGCAAGCGUUAAUCGGAAUUACUGGGCGUAAAGCGUGCGCAGGCGGUUUUAUAAGACAGGUGUGAAAUCCCCGAGCUUAACUUGGGAAUUGCAUUUGUGACUGUAAGGCUAGAGUGUGUCAGAGGGGGGUGGAAUUCCACGUGUAGCAGUGAAAUGCGUAGAUAUGUGGAGGAACACCAAUGGCGAAGGCAGCCCCCUGGGAUAACACUGACGCUCAUGCACGAAAGCGUGGGGAGCAAACAGG
rnacentral:rRNA from 1 species